UCUCUCUCUCUCAUUCUUGUUUCGAAUAAUCAUGAUCUCGAACCACUACAUUGACUCCGCCCUUCUCUUUUCUGCUCUAUCCCUUCUUUAGUCAUCCACACGUUUCAGGGAGUUAACUUCGACAAAGACGACGACGAAUACGACAACGAAAAGGAAUAAAUAGAAAUCCCGUCAGAAGAAAGUCGGCUUGAAAAUCAAACAAACAGUCGGCGACGUCGCGUUAGUGGAGUUCCUUCGUCGUCAUCGUCGUCGUUGUCGUCGUCGUCGUCGUCGUCGUCGUCGUCGUCGUCGUCGUCGUCGUCGUCCUCGUCGUCUUCGUCGUUUGUUUAUUGUUAUAAAAAACAUAGAGUCGACCAAGCGUAUCACCACAAAGUGUAACUUUUACAGUAGAGGUCAAAGCGAUCCAUUAACUCGACGAAAGGAUACGAAAUUAGCGAAGUUCGAGUUCCGGUAUCGUAGCUAACGUUAGUGUCACAUGGCGAAGGGCUAAAACUUUUUCUUGAAUGGAUAAAAUCCGACGGAGACAUGUGUUCGCCAGACGACAAAAUUCUCUCUCCCUCUCUCUCUCUCUCUCUCCCCCCCCCCUGUCUCUCUCCUCAAGGUGCAUGGGAAAGAAGUACAUCUCAUUGGAUUUACUUAGUACGAACAAUCGUCGAAGGGGAGGAUUAUGAAUCUUCUUCUUUUGCUUCUUCUUUUUUUUUUAACAUUUUGUAUCAACACUACGUAAUCUUCUUCAAUCUUUUGUUUAAUGAAUGAUUUCGAAUAAAUUUAUCAUCGUUAACUUGUUAACAUAUUUAAUUUAAAUAUUUUACCGAUCCGAUCAAUUAGAAUCAAUUUUUUUUUGUCUUUAAUUAUAACAAUCAUUUGUCAAUAAGAUGAAAUAAUUACACUUGAUAAAUAUCAGCAUAAGUAAGUAUAAAUAGUCGAAGAUCAAAUCAUCAUGUGGCAUUAGAAAUUAAUCCAAUAAUAUUAUCCUCGUGAAAUAUAUCGAAAUAAUGAUUGAAUCAGUUCAAUGAACUUCUUCAAACAUCAUGAUUAUUCACGAAUCUACUUCCGACCUAAUUCAAUUCCUACAAUUGAAUAAUUUCUUUUUUCACUCGAUUUUAAAUCGUACUCACUUCUUUUCGAAACGUAAGUAGAUAAGUAACUACCUGCCCGUUGAUAUUGUUAAGAGUCGAUUGGAGGCCCUUAUCUUUUAGGUAAAGAAAAAGAAAAAAAAAAAAAAAAGAAAAAGAACAAAGAGGCAAGUGUUGUGUGCAAUACGGAAUAUCACCAAAUCUUCGAAAGCAAACAUCAAAGAUACCGACAUAACAGUGCACCGACUUCCAGACCGUGACAAUACUACGAAAAGAAAGAACAAAAUACAAGGGAUGUAGAAAUUUACCUCCCCUCCUCCUUACUUUUGCCUUCAACCAUUCACACAUUCUCACACACUCUCUCUCUUUCUCUCUCUCCCUCUCUCUCUCUCUCUCUCUCUCUUUCUUUCUUUGUCUCGUUCGCUUUACGCAAUGUUUAUUCUAAAUACACCGGAAGUUCAACCUUAAGAAUAAGGUAGAUUAACGAUUAGUGUCGGUGUACAUAGCCUCUACGUUAACAUAUGUGUGCACAUUCCACUGGGAUAUAUUUUCUAAACACACGUGCUUGCCAUCAGGAUAAGUUCGCAUUGGCCAUUUCUAGUACACACAUAAAAAUGCAACCACGCAUAUAUUUAUACAUAUACAGUUAUAGGUAAUAUACCUCUACAUCUUCUUUCUCUGUCCCGCUUGCAAAAGUUGCUCUUCCAAGAAGAAAUAUCGAUUGUUCUUCUCUUAUUUCAACGGGUGACCAUUUUUCUUUUUUUUCUUUUCUUUUUUCUUUCUUCAAAAUUAGAAACUUUCCAGAGAACAAAUAGAAUGCGAAUUUCUAAUUAUUGCCUUAAUUUAUUAGAAAGAGUAGAAAGAAUUAUGAAUGAAAUAAUCCAUUAUGAAGAAUAUCGCGUAGUAAGUACUUACGUACUUACAUAGAACAUAUAUUAUCUACUUAAGAAAUAUAAAUACUCAUCUAUCUGUAUCUCUAUACUUUACGGAGCCAGGGAAAAAGGAAAAAGAACAAUGAUUCUAGAUCAGGACUGUAAGAAAAAUAAAACCUUAAAAAAACGCGCAUCAAGAAGCGACCCCCGCUGAGGAGACCAAGAGGCCCCUCGGGACCACAUCCCCUCUCAACCCCAUGAGGAGACCCUGUUUCUUUUCUUUUCUUUCUUUCUUUCUUUCUCUCCUCUUUUUUCUUUUAUUUUUUUUUUUUGCUUUUCACAUAUCUUCGCUCACACACAACCAUUGCCAUCGGGGAUCACAAAACCAUACCAGGGACUCACAUUGACGUAGGUCUUAUACCCCCUCGAAGACGUAAAUUCGAUAGAAUUCGUGCGAGUUCAAACCCUUAGAUGGCUUUUUUUUUUUUUUUAUACUUAUGUUUGAAUACUAAUAUUUAAAAAACCUAGAAAUGUAUUGUUCAUGAAAUAAUACCGCUACGCAAUUUAUUCCAGAUACGUCAUCUUAUUUUGUUUUAAAUUUAAAAAGUUAAUUAUUUUCAAUCGAUUAUGUUUUUUUUUUCGAAAUUUUUUGAAAGAAACGAUAAAAAUUCUUCUUGUUUAGAUUCUAAGAAAAAGGGAAAAUGCAAUAGGACACGCGACAUUUUCAGUAGAAUUGUUGUUUGAAGAGAGGCUGCUCCAUUUUCUUUUGCUAUUUCCUCCAUCUUUCCACUUAUUUUUCUUUCUUUUCUUAUUUUUCCCCAGAAAUCCUGCAGAUUCUCCGUCAACUAUGUGACCUUUCUCGACGAAAGAUUAAUCAUUAGUUUUUCAGCAGCCUCCCGUAGGCACGAGACCAUAAUGCAAUUCGUAGAAAUUUGGAUACUUGUUGAAAAAAGAAAUUUCUACAAAAAAAAAAAAACAAAAAAAAAAUAAAAAAAAAAAAUACGAAUCUUUUUCUCUUAUUUAUAAUACUAUAAAGAAAUAUUUCAACUUCAUUAAUAUAAUCUUCACGAUCAUUGAAUAUUUAUCGUGAAAGAAACGAAAACAAUGAGAAAGAAAGAAACGUCACAAGGAUGACAAGAGGAGAGACGCCAUGGCGAAUAAUGUCGCCAUUUUACUUCUAUUCUCCACCUUGAUCGACGCUCCAAUCAGACGGUUUGUUCCCGUAAACAUCGCCGAUUGGUUACUACGAUACAGGUAGAAAAUAGGCAACGCCCAAUUUUCGCCAAUUCUGACUUCUGAUUGGUCGUUCGAAUCUUUUGGACAAGAUGGACAUUUCAGAGGAAAAAACAUUUUUGCAACUUCUGACAUCUGAUUGGUCGUUCGAAUCUUUUGCAAUAUGGACAUUUAAAAAAAAAAAGAAAAAAAAUAAGAAAAGAAAUGCAAAAAAAAAGAAUACAAAAGAGAGAGAGAGAGAAAGAGAGAGAGAAAGAGAAAGGAUAAAAAUCAGUGAUACUUAAAAUACCCCCGCGAUAAUCGAUUGUAAGGAAACGAAACGAAAAAUAAAUUAAUAUAAAAAUGAAAAAAAAAGCAAAAAAAAAUGUACAAAGUAGAGACAACCGAUAGUUUUACUUGCAUUUGCAUGCAUAACUCAAAGACCCUCGUUGUAACCUUUUGACAGGCGUGACCGGCUGCAGCAUUUCGUUAACAUUUAAACAGCUGUUCCGCGCUAUCUUGUUAGCUUAAGUGGACUUCAAAUAAUUAAAAAACGACGAAACAUAUAUACUUACCUACGUGUGUGAGCCGAAUCAAAUUUCCAAAAAAAAAAAAAAAAAAAGAAAAAAAAAAACACGAGG